GAGGCAAUUCUUAACAUUCCCUUAAACCCAGCUGGCGGACAAGACAUUUUAGCAUGGUCUUUGGAAAAGUCUGGCAACUAUACUGUAAAGUUUGCAUAUCGGCCUCUCGUGACUCGCAACGAGCUCGGCUCUCUAGAGGAAGGGGCGAAUACAGAAACCUCAUCAUCAAACAAACAGUUGUGGUCAGCGCUUUGGAAAAACCAUGUCAUUCCAAAGGUUCGAGUGUUUUGGGGGAGAGUACUUCAUGGUAUUUUACCAGAUUCAGUAACACUCAACUAUAGGCAUAUCAAGUCCAUUGGCAGGUGUGAUAUU
rnacentral:rRNA from 1 species